CGUGGGUAACCUACCUCAUAGUGGGGGAUAACAGUCGGAAACGACUGCUAAUACCGCAUAGGACAUGGGAUCACAUGAUUCCGUGAGGAAAGGUGGCGCAAGCUAUCGCUAAGAGAUGGACCCGCGGUGCAUUAGCUAGUUGGUAGGGUAACGGCCUACCAAGGCGAUGAUGCAUAGCCGACCUGAGAGGGUGAUCGGCCACAUUGGGACUGAGACACGGCCCAA
rnacentral:rRNA from 1 species